UUAUGCGAUUGAUUUAGCGGCCGCGAUUCGCCCUUCCUACGGGAGGCAGCAGUGGGGAAUAUUGGACAAUGGGGGCAACCCUGAUCCAGCCAUGCCGCGUGUGUGAAGAAGGCCCUCGGGUUGUAAAGCACUUUCAGCGAGGAAGAACGCCUAGCGGUUAAUACCCGCUAGGAAAGACAUCACUCGCAGAAGAAGCACCGGCUAACUCCGUGCCAGCAGCCGCGGUAAUACGGAGGGUGCAAGCGUUAAUCGGAAUUACUGGGCGUAAAGCGCGCGUAGGUGGCUUGAUAAGCCGGUUGUGAAAGCCCCGGGCUCAACCUGGGAACGGCAUCCGGAACUGUCAAGCUAGAGUGCAGGAGAGGAAGGUAGAAUUCCCGGUGUAGCGGUGAAAUGCGUAGAGAUCGGGAGGAAUACCAGUGGCGAAGGCGGCCUUCUGGACUGACACUGACACUGAGGUGCGAAAGCGUGGGUAGCAAACAGGAUUAGAUACCCUGGUAGUCCACGCCGUAAACGAUGUCGACCAGCCGUUGGGUGCCUAGCGCACUUUGUGGCGAAGUUAACGCGAUAAGUCGACCGCCUGGGGAGUACGGCCGCAAGGUUAAAACUCAAAUGAAUUGACGG
rnacentral:rRNA from 1 species